UGUGGAGCGCUCACAUUGUCAUAACCAUGACAAACAAGAAUCUUCUUUCAAUAGCAAAAAUGUCUGAGAACAUUGCAUAUAAUGCAAAUGAAUAACAUGCUAUUCCACUCUCAACAUGACUGGUUUCUAUAGAAUGAGUCAGCUAUCCCACACGACUCUCGAGAAGUUUUAAAGGAGACAUAACAAGGAAAACAUAUUGAAAACAUCCUGACAUACAGAUGGUUCCAAAAGUUAGGAUGCUGCCUAAGAAGAUGACAGAACACCGCAAGGCAGCUCACAAAGUUUUGGAGAAAGAGCCCAUGAAAGUUUGUUCAGAUAGCAAGAGCGAUGAUCCCUGCUGCCAUCGGAGCUGAAGCUGAUGUUCCAGUGUGACUGUCUGUGCAACGCUGCCGCAAAUCUGUUGUGAUCUAACAAGAAACAAAGAGAGAAUAUGAAUGAAUGACUGGGUCAAAGAGAGGGCUGGGGGGGCAUUGCCCACCUAGAUUUUCCUAAUCCUUAGGCAGGGCUGUUCUUGCGACAGUCUUGCUUGCAUUUUCGAUUAAAAAUUAUACUAUGCAACGACAAAUUGUAACUAGGGCUGGGCAAUAAAUCACUCUUGAUAUUUAUAGCGAUAAAAAAUUUUUCCACGAUAUCGAUGAUAAGCUUGAGUAAUUUUCGAUAUUUAGCCUGUGUUCUACAUUUAGACGAUCAUGUGCGUGUCCCUAAAAACGCAAGCAGUUCGGCUUUCUCAGACUGUACGAAGUUGCUAACGUUAGCAGGCAGUGCCUUGCUAACGAUUAGGCUACGCCAGUCACCGGACCCAAGAUUGAUUACAUCCAGACCGCAAGACAUCAUGACGACGGUUUAGCCCUCUCUUCGUCUCUAGUAAGCAGCACAACAAAACAACAGUGCAGCGUACACCAGAUCUGAUCUUUCUGCGCUGUAUUCUUGAAUAUUUUUCUCUAGCACCGAACAUGCUUCAUUUAUGCCCUGUCCCGCUCCGCAUUCGUUGGCUUUUUCCCUGCAUGCAAGUAGCCAUAAGGCGCCACAUAAGCGUCUUUGGACAAUAACGUUUUUCUUUAUAAAUUUAGCUUCAUUAAUCAGCAUGUUAUGAGCCUUUAAUAUUAAACUAAUAGAUUUCUGUUCUAAUUUUGUGAAAUUAAUCAUCUCUGGCAUGGAUGACAAGGAAAGACAAUAAAAUUACUAGUUGGUGGCCUAUUCUUUCUCCCUUUAAUGAAAAUAUAAAAUGGUCCAUUCAGAUAAAUUUUACCCCCAUACAGUAUCAUUCCUCAGUCACAAGGGCUUUUAUGCCCCCCAUACUUGGGUAU